AUACCUUUCUCGGCCUUUUGGCUAAGAUCAAGUGUAGUAUCUGUUCUUAUCAGUUUAAUAUCUGAUAUGUGAACUAUGUGUUCACUUCGAUAUUAAAUUUAUUUUUUGUGGGGGAGGGUCCGUAUAGUAGCUUGCUACUUGGUCCUCGUGUGUCGCUCGGGCGUUGCACUUCUGCCCGAGCCAGGCGCAUCCCAA
rfam:Zea mays cultivar B73 chromosome 1, whole genome shotgun sequence.